AUCUCACCCUCUCCCUUGGCUGGCUAGUGAAGGGGCUGCCUUCAUUUUCUUUUAUUGUCACACUCAAGCAUAAACACACCCACAUACACUACUCUCUACAUCUCUCUUUCAUUCUUUCACUGGUGCACAUCUCAUAGCCACCUCCACCAUUUUUUCGACAAGGUUUACCAGAAAACUCCAUAGGAAAAAGUUAAGGCUCACUCAUACCUUUUAUUUGAGGUUGGAAGCUCCCACUUUGCAUGACAUGGGUAAAUCCUUAAGUGUAUGAGUGAGGUUGCUGCCCAUAAGGCCAAAAAGACCACAUGCAAAAGGGGUAUUGUGUGAUGCAUCAUUCCCUACUGCAUAUAAGGGGAAGUGGUAAAUCCUUGUGUGUGUGGGUGAGGCUAGGCAAGGCCAAGAGGCCAUCUGCAAAAGAGGUACUACAUGACAUGUUAUCCCCUGCUGCCAAUGAGAGGAUAGGUAAAUCCUUGAAGGUGUGGGUGAGGCUAGACAAGGCCGUUAGACCACAUGCCAAAAGAGAUACGUAUCAUGCUAGUGUGUUUGGGUUCUGAAUAGUCUGUGGCGGUAUGAUGUCUUAGUAACAUUUCCGUCUUUGUGGCACCUUGGGUGAGGUUUUUGGUUUUGAAAUAAUAUUGGAUAUUUUGGGAAACUUGGUACUCAAUUAUUUCUAUUAUUCUUGUCAUGUUGUUAAUGAAUUGUUUUUGCAUAAAUAAAAUGGAAAUUCCCAAAUUAUAGCAUGUUUUGUAAAAUGCUCAUUAUUAUGAAACUUGCAUUUCCCCCGCCCCCAUUAAUUAUGUUA